GACGAACGCUGGCGGCGUGCCUAAUACAUGCAAGUCGAACGCAGGGGGGACGGGUGAGUAACACGUGGGUAACCUCCCAUCAGAGGGGAUAACACUUGGAAACAGGUGCUAAACCGAUACUGAUGGAUGGACCCGCGGUGCAUUAGCUAGUUGGUGCGGUAACGGCUCACCAAGGCCACGAUGCCUCGCCGUCCGAAGAGGUGACUAGGCAACACUGGGCCUGAGACACGGCCAAAACUCCUACGUGAGGCAGCAGUAGGGACACUUCGGCAAUGGACGAAAGUCUGACCGAGCAUCGCCGCGUGAGUGAAGAAGGUUUUCGGAUCGUAAAACUCUGUUGUUAGAGAAGCGGUAUCUAACCAGAAAGCCACGGCUAACUACGUGCCAGCAGCGCGGUAAUUC
rnacentral:rRNA from 1 species